rfam:Mus musculus chromosome X, GRC primary reference assembly.
UGCUCCCUUGCAAUGGACAAACAGACACCUUGAUGGUGAUAUUUUUCUUAGAUCAGUAAGGGUCAGAGCAAUUGGCAGUCCUUUGUUCAUCCUUGCUUGAUGCCUGUCUUAGUGGACAAAACUGUUUUAUGCCUAGGACUCGUAA